AACGUAGGCCUGGGCCGAUAAUCAAUAAAUCAAUUAAUCGCACGAUAAAUUAAAAUGAACUCGAUAAUUUUGCCGGCCUCGAUAUAUCGCCAUGUGCACGCGCGUUUGUUUUCCUCGCCUCUCGCCUCCAAGCAGGCUGGAUGACAAGAGGGUUCACUCUGUGCUCGGUCUCAGCACCUGGGGGCGUUGGUUGCGGAAUGAACGGAGUGAACCCUCCUGUCAGUCAUCCAGCCUCUUUGUCACUGUGGGGGGAGGCGGGGCCGCUAGCAUUAGCCACACAUGCUACACGCACAGAGUGCAGCGAGUGAGCGUCGUGCGGAGCAACGCGAGGAGAAAAGAUGAUUGCAAAGUCAAAACGCCACAGCCCCGGUGUGGCAGCCAGUUCAAAAGUGGUGGCAACGACAAAAAGGCAACACAACAAAGUUGCAUGUCCACCUGAAGCAUCACCACCCAAAGUGCAGCUCGAGAUGCGGAGCCUUCGUCCCGACAGUCAACACUCGCUGAGGCGUUCGGUCGACAAAGUCAAUAUAAACGGAACAGCGCAAAAUGGUGUGCGCUCAUUGAAAGUGAAGUUCGCUACAUCGCUAAAGGACUGAUACAGUGAGUCUCACUGGCCAGUAUCAGUAUCCCGAUGAUCGACCAGGAGAUGUUGAUGCUUUUUCCAGAGAACCUUUUGUUGUCCGUUUCAAAGCCCCCAAGACAGCUAUAAAGGAGUUUGUCCUCAUACCUCAGCACACCACUCCAGUCAACACCACUAAGGAGC